UGGUUCACUCCUUUCCUUUUGAUCUUUGAUGAUAGUUAUUGUACAACAUCCACUGUUUUUUGUGGUUGCAGUUGUUUUAGUGAGGCGUAUGGCAGAGAGUGCUUGGCAACUGCAGUGAAGCUUCUUGAGAAGAUCUGCAAAGGAGUCCGAUCCACUUCAACCUACACGCAGAACUUCACAGACAUCCCUGUGGCAUGCAUGAACAUGGUUGUCUCAAUAUCUGAGUUUGCCCGGGCCUUUGAGUCACAGGCAACUAAGGAUGUGGAAAGAGAGCAUAUGCAUGCCAAGGAGCUGGAUCUGCUAUCCGGAACUGACUAGUUCAGACCAUAGAACAAUAUUUACUAGAACGGACAUUCCCAUUUAAGUCAAUUGUCUGUCAUGGGUGGACCGGUGGCCAUAUUGAGUGUACCCAUGAGUGUUCCAGACAAAUUGCUGUGGUUUGAGGGUCUUUGUCCAUUCUAGUAGUUGUAUUUCUAUGGUUGAGACAUUUCCGAAAAAGGAUGGAAAUAACUUAUCAUUCCUUUCAAGGCAACUAAGGAUGUGGAAAGAGAGCAUAUGCAUGCCAAGGAGCUGGAUCUGCUAUCCGAGGCGAUGGUGAUCGUCAGAUCCUGGAUCGGCACAACCUUCAGAGACCGGUUGCUAGCCAGGAGUGUGACCACCUUGUACCUCAGUGUAAAUGUCACCACAGAGAUAGAGAUGUGGAACAACAUAAUCUCUCUCAAGUUCGCCAAUGACGAUUUCACAAAAGAAUGGAGACAAACGUUCACUAGGGACUUGGAGGGCAAAUUGAAACAGGUAUGAAACUUCCACACAUACAGUAGAAUUGAGAUCAGACUGAAAUAUCCAUUGGUGAAAUGACUGAAAUACCUUUUCUGCACUUCUAGGAGUCUCCUCUGGAUCAGAUAGAGAUCUACUGUUCCAAGAUUGAGGUCCUGAAUGAAUCUCACCCUCACGUAGCCAAGACUAUCGAGAAAUGUGCCCUAGAAGCUGUCACCUCACUGUGCCAGGUAAGUAGACUGGUUACACUUGACUUAAAUACAGAUUCAAUAUACAGUACCAGUCAAGUUUGGACAAAACUACUCAUUCCAGGGUCUUUCUUGAUUUGCACUAUUUUCUACAUUGUAGAAUAAUACUGAAGACAUCAAAACUAUGAAAUAACACAUGGAAUCAUGUAGUAACCAAAAAAGUGUCAAACAAAUCAAAAAGCUGUCAUCAAGGAAAAGGGUGGCUACUUUGAAGAAUCUCUACUUUAAAAUAUAUUUUGAUUUGUUUAACA
rnacentral:lncRNA from 1 species